rnacentral:rRNA from 1 species
AUGCACGCUGGCGGCGUGCCUCAUACCUGCCAGUCGAGCGAACAGAUCAGGAGCUUGCUCCUUUGACGUUAGCGGCGGACGGGUGAGUAACACGUGGGUAACCUACCUAUAAGACUGGGAUAACUUCGGGAAACCGGAGCUAAUACCGGAUAACAUUUGUAACCGCAUGGUUCUAAAGUGAAAGAUGGUUUUGCUAUCACUUAUAGAUGGACCCGCGCCGUAUUAGCUAGUUGGUAAGGUAACGGCUUACCAAGGCGACGAUACGUAGCCGACCUGAGAGGGUGAUCGGCCACACUGGAACUGAGACACGGUCCAGACUCCUACGGGAGGCAGCAGUAGGGAAUCUUCCGCAAUGGGCGAAAGCCUGACGGAGCAACGCCGCGUGAGUGAUGAAGGGUUUCGGCUCGUAAAACUCUGUUAUUAGGGAAGAACAAAUGUGUAAGUAACUGUGCACGUCUUGACGGUACCUAAUCAGAAAGCCACGGCUAACUACGUG